CCUACGGGGGGCAGCAGUGGGGAAUAUUGGACAAUGGGCGAAAGCCUGAUCCAGCCAUGCCGCGUGUGUGAAGAAGGCCUUCGGGUUGUAAAGCACUUUCAGUGGGGAAGAAAGCCUUGGGGCUAAUACCCUCGAGGAAGGACAUCACCCACAGAAGAAGCACCGGCUAACUCCGUGCCAGCAGCCGCGGGAAUACGGAGGGUGCGAGCGUUAAUCGGAAUUACUGGGCGUAAAGCGCGCGUAGGCGGUCUGAUAAGCCGGUUGUGAAAGCCCCGGGCUCAACCUGGGAACGGCAUCCGGAACUGUCAGGCUAGAGUGCAGGAGAGGAAGGUAGAAUUCCCGGUGUAGCGGUGAAAUGCGUAGAGAUCGGGAGGAAUACCAGUGGCGAAGGCGGCCUUCUGGACUGACACUGACGCUGAGGUGCGAAAGCGUGGGUAGCAAACAGGAUUAGAUACCCCGGUAGUC
rnacentral:rRNA from 1 species